GAUGAACGCUGGCGGCGUGCCUAACACAUGCAAGUCGAACGGUGACGAGGAGCUUGCUCCUCUGAUCAGUGGCGAACGGGUGAGUAACACGUGAGCAACCUGCCCCAGACUCUGGGAUAACAGUUGGAAACAGCUGCUAAUACCGGAUACGAGACGGAGAGGCAUCUCUACCGUCUGGAAAGUUUUUCGGUCUGGGAUGGACUCGCGGCCUAUCAGCUAGUUGGUGAGGUAAUGGCUCACCAAGGCGACGACGGGUAGCCGGCCUGAGAGGGCGACCGGCCACACUGGGACUGAGACACGGCCCAGACUCCUACGGGAGGCAGCAGUGGGGAAUAUUGCACAAUGGGCGAAAGCCUGAUGCAGCGACGCCGCGUGAGGGAUGACGGCCUUCGGGUUGUAAACCUCUUUCAGCAGGGAAGAAGCGAAAGUGACGGUACCUGCAGAAGAAGCACCGGCUAACUACGUG
rnacentral:rRNA from 1 species